CUGCAAAGAGCUCCUUUUCUCCCGCUUCUCAGCUGAUCGGCGGGUGGGCGGGGCUUCCACUGAGGCCUCCGUGUAGGCCUCUGUGAAGCCUGAACUCGAUUAGGGCCCAAGCCAGCCAGGAAGGAGGAGGCAGCCAGAGUGGCCACCACUGGUCUCUGCAGCAGAAGAACCCUUGCUGCCCUGCCCAACCCAGCCCAGCAUUUGCCAGGAGGAGAUCAACUAGUACUUCACCAGAAACAGGCUAGGGGAGGCUUAACCCUGCUGUGUGUGGGCUGGGAGUACUGGAAGGCAAUGGGGGUCACACAAGGACCUCUUCUAACACCCUAAACUACUAAACCAUCUGCCAGUAUCCCUUUGUUGAGACGUAUUGGGGAGAUACAGUAACAAGGUCCUCUAAGCACAGCCCACAGGGGUACGUCUGGGCAAUCUUUCAGAGGCUAAACCAAAUAGCAGAAGUGCAUAACCAUACAGCAAUCUUAGCAUUUCUAGAAAACUGACUGUGUGUACUGAACACCAAGGCUACAGUCACCUGAACACCAGCCUGCUCCUGGUGAAGGAACUACCAACUCAGCAUUGCCUUAACCUUCUGUAAUCAUUCUCAGAAAAUAACUUUUACUUUAAUAGCAGAAGCACCGUAUGCCUCACUGAAACAGAAUUCUGGCAAUGUCACAUUCCUGACUUAUAAAACUAUAAAGCAUGAAACUAAAACCCAGAUGAGCCAUUGCAGCCGACUGCUUUUAUGACCUCCUUACAUCCAGAUCACCGCGAUGUAUCAUCUCUUGAAACUGCUGAUGUUAACAGACCACUUCCUUUAUCUGGAUCAGGUUAUUAAAAACCAUUUUUAUUUGAAUUUCACUGGUGCAAGAAAUUUCAGUGAUGUUUUGGCAAAACUGUGUUUUGACCCUUCCACCAACACAGUCUUUCUUCAGAACACACCCACUUGGAACAACUGAGACCCACUUGGAACAACUGAGACAGAAGCACAGAAUUUUUCUGCACAAAGGAUCUUUUUGACAUCUGAAGGAUCCUCUCGUCUCCUCAGGUAUCCUGCCUGCUCUCUUUGAGCUUCAGAAGAGGCCUUGAUUUGUAUUCUUCUGCCUUUGCAAGUUAGGCAAUGAGAUGUCUUUUUUGCCAUCACACUAGACUUUAGAAUUCCUUCCCUUGGGAUAUUUGCCUGGCUCCUCAUUCAUUGUUUUUCACUGUGCAUUAAAAAAACUAUAUGGCUCUGCUGUA